GAUGAACGCUGGCGGCGUGCCUAAUACAUGCAAGUCGAGCGAACAGAUAAGGAGCUUGCUCGUUGGACGUGAGGGGCGGACGGGGGAGUAACACGUGGUUAACCUACCGAUAAGACUGGAAUAACUCCGGGAAACCGGGGCUAAUACCGGAUAACAUUUAGAACCUCAUGGUUCUAGAGUGAAGGAUGGUUUUGCUAUCACUUAUAGAUGGACCCGCGCCGUAUUAGCUAGUUGGUAAGAUAACGGCUUACCAAGGCAACGAUGCGUAGCCGACCUGAGAGGGUGAUCGGCGACCAUGGAACUGCGACACGGUCGCGAAUACUCCGGGAGGCAGCAGUAGGGAAUAUUACGCCAUGGGGGAAAGACUGCCGGUGCAGCGCCGCGUGAGUGAUGAAGGUCUCCGGCUCGUAGAAAUCUGUUAUUAGGGAAGAACAAAUGUGUAAGUAACUGUGCACGUCUUGACGGUACCUAGUCAGAAAGCGCCGGCUAACUACGUG
rnacentral:rRNA from 1 species